UAUCUCUGUAGAGUCUGCAUAUCAAUAAGCGGAGGAAAAGAAACUAACUAGGAUUCCCUUAGUAACGGCGAGUGAAGCGGGAAGAGCUCAAAUUUGAAAUCUUCAAGGUUCUACCUUGACGAAUUGUAGUUUAAAGAAGUGUUUUCUGCUGAGAUGAGUAGCAAAAGUUCCUUUGGAAUAGGACAUCAUAGAGGGUGAGAGUCCCGUAUUUGACAUUAUUCUUCUAGCUUUGUGAUACACUUUCAAAGAGUCGGAUUGUUUGGGAAUGCAGUCCAAAAUGGGUGGUAAAUUUCAUCUAAAGCUAAAUAUUGGCGAGAGACCGAUAGCGAACAAGUACCGUGAGGGAAAGAUGAAAAGAACUUUGAAAAGAGAGUUAAACAGUACGUGAAAUUGUCAAAAGGGAAGCGUUUGACACCAGUGUUGUUUUUCUCGAAAAUCAAUUAAGAAUGGCAUGAUUCUGUGUUGUAUUGACCUUAUCAGCUUUCUUCACUCUUUUCUAGUCUUUCUUAAUGCACUUUUCGGUUAACAAGUCAACAUCAAUUUCUUUUGUUGUAAAAGAGUAUUCGGAAGGUGGCUUUCUUUUCGGAGAAAGUGUUUAUAGCCCUAUACUUCUACAAUCGGAGAGAUUGAGGUCUGCAGCGUAGAUCCUUCGGGGUUAGAUACACUUGUGCUAAGUUGUAGCUUUUCAUAGACAACUUGUUGACUAUGUUUAGUCAUGCGGCUUACUCGCUUGUGCUAUUUUACCUACGCUUAGGAUGUUGAAGAUGUAGCACAUCAU
rnacentral:rRNA from 1 species